rnacentral:rRNA from 1 species
AUUGAACGCUGGCGGCAUGCCUUACACAUGCAAGUCGAACGGCAGCACGGGAGCAAUCCUGGUCGCGAGUGGCGCACGGGUGAGUAAAGUACCGGAACGUGCCCAGUCGUGGGGGAUAACGUAGCGAAAGUUACACUAAUACCGCAUACGAUCGUUGGAUGAAAGCGGGGGAUCGCAAGACCUCGCGCGAUUGGAGCGGCCGAGAUCUGAUUAGGUAGUUGUUGGGGUAAGGGCUCACCAAGCCGACGAUCUAUAGCUGGUCUGAGAGGACGACCAGCCAGACUGGGACUGGGACGCGGCCCGGACGCGUACGGGAGGCAGCGGUGGGGCAUGGUGGACAAUGGGCGAAAGGCUGACCCAGCCAUGCCGCGUGCAGGAUGAAGGCCUUCGGGUUGUGAUCUGCAUUUGUACUGAAAGAAAAGAUUUGGACUAAUAGGCUGAGCUAAUGGCGGUACCGUAAGAAUAAGCACCGGCUAACUACGUGCCAGCAGCCGCAGUAA